rnacentral:rRNA from 1 species
GACGGGGGGGGCAAGUGUUCUUCGGAAUGACUGGGCGUAAAGGGCACGUAGGCGGUGUAUCGGGUUGGAAGUGAAAGUCGCCAAAAAGUGGCGGAAUGCUCUCGAAACCAAUUCACUUGAGUGAGACAGAGGGGAGUGGAAUUUCGUGUGUAGGGGUGAAAUCCGUAAAUAUACGAAGGAACGCCAAAAGCGAAGGCAGCUCUCUGGGUCGCUACCGACGCUGGGGUGCGAAAGCAUGGGGAGCGAACAGG